rnacentral:rRNA from 1 species
GUGGGGAAUAUUGCACAAUGGGCGAAAGCCUGAUGCAGCAACGCCGCGUGAGCGAUGAAGGCCUUUGGGUCGUAAAGCUCUGUCCUUGGGGAAGAAACAAAUGACGGUACCCUUGGAGGAAGCCCCGGCUAACUACGUGCCAGCAGCCGCGGUAAUACGUAGGGGGCGAGCGUUAUCCGGAAUUAUUGGGCGUAAAGAGUGCGUAGGUGGUUUGAUAAGCGUGGGGUGAAAGGCAAUAGCUUAACUAUUGUAAGCCUUGCGAACUGUCAGACUUGAGUGCAGGAGAGGAAAGUGGAAUUCCUAGUGUAGCGGUGAAAUGCGUAGAUAUUAGGAGGAACACCAGUGGCGAAGGCGACUUUCUGGACUGUAACUGACACUGAGGCACGAAAGCGUGGGGAGCAAACAGGAUUAGAAACCCUUGUAGUCC